UCAUAGCAGGCACCCCAGCAUCAGGCCCAUAAAACCUGGACUUACUACAGUAUCUACCUAGGAAGCACCAAAUAGCAUCUUGCACUGAUACCACGCUCUUAGAAGAGUCCAGCUGCUGGACGCAAGCUGCAGAGGGACCGUGGAGAAGAUAAGGCUGGAGUGGGAAAGGAUGAAGAGGGAGUGAGGGUUUGGAACGGGAUGAUGCUGGACGCAAUUACAUUACAGAAAACGCCUCUC
rnacentral:lncRNA from 1 species